rnacentral:rRNA from 1 species
CAGCCGCCCGGGAAAACGUAGGGUGCGAGCGUUAAUCGGAUUUACUGGGCGUAAAGCGUGCGCAGGCGGCCCGUUAAGACAGGUGUGAAAUCCCUGGGCUCAACCUAGGAAUUGCGCUUGUGACUGGCGGGCUCGAGUACGGUAGAGGGGGGUGGAAUUCCUGGUGUAGCAGUGAAAUGCGUAGAGAUCAGGAGGAACACCGAUGGCGAAGGCAGCCCCCUGGGCCUGUACUGACGCUCAUGCACGAAAGCGUGGGGAGCAAACAGGAUUAGAUACCCCGGUAGUCCCUGUCUCUUAUACA